GGGGGCGAACUGGCUUCGACGAGGGUGCUGAAGCUCAAGUCGCGUGCCGAGGAUCUCGGGUGACCUCGCUAAUCCUUCCUGGGAAAACACAAAAGCCAACGACAACGUUGAGCUCGCGCUCGCGGCCUAAUAACCCGUAGCAGCGCGCGUCCGCCUGACCUUCUGCCUGUGGGGUCAGAAUCGGGCGCCAUUUAGCAGGCUGGCGGCAAGCAAUCGCCUGGAGGGCUUGUCGCGAGACUAAUCCGGGAAACUCGCCGGGUGAUCCUGCCCAUGGGAGCGCUCGGCGAGUACAAAUCAUGGGAUACGCACGUAGUGGCGAGAGUGGAUGACUUUCGGACGCGGGUUCGAUUCCCGCCGCCUCCACUG
rnacentral:tmRNA from 1 species